CCACUCACCGAAGACGACAUGGUGUCGUACAUCCUUGCCGGGCUUGACUUUGAUUACAUAUCAUUUGUCUCCUCGGUCUACGCCAGAACAGUCCCCAUCAAGACAAACGAGCUCUACUCCCAGCUGAUCAGCUUUGAAA